rnacentral:rRNA from 1 species
UAAGGUGGCAAAGCGUUGUCCGGAAUUAUUGGGCGUAAAGGGCUCGCAGGGCGGUUCCUUAAGUCUGAUGUGAAAGCCCACGGCUCAACCGGGAGGGUCAUUGGAAACUGGGGAACUUGAGUACAGAAGAGGAGAGUGGAAUUCCACGUGUAGCGGUGAAAUGCGUAGAGAUGUGGAGGAACACCAGUGGCGAAGGCGACUCUCUGGUCUGUAACUGACGCUGAGGAGCGAAAGCGUGGGGAGCGAACAGGAUUAGAUACCCUGGUAGUCCACGCCGUAAACGAUGAGUGCUAAGUGUUAGAGGGUUUCCGCCCUUUAGUGCUGCAGCAAACGCAUUAUGCACUCCGCCUGGGGAGUACGGUCGCAAGACUGAAACUCAAAGGAAUUGACGGGGGCCCGCACAAGCGGUGGAGCAUGUGGUUUAAUUCGAAGCAACGCGAAGAACCUUACCAGGUCUUGACAUCCCAUGACAACUCUAGAGAUAGAGCGUUCCCCUUCGGGGGACAUGGUGACAGGUGGUGCAUGGUUGUCGUCAGCUCGUGUCGUGAGAUGUUGGGUUAAGUCCCGCAACGAGCGCAACCCUUGAUCUUAGUUGCCAGCAUUUAGUUGGGCACUCUAAGGUGACUGCCGGUGACAAACCGGAGGAAGGUGGGGAUGACGUCAAAUCAUCAUGCCCCUUAUGACCUGGGCUACACACGUGCUACAAUGGAUGGUACAAAGGGCUGCGAGACUGCGAAGUUAAGCGAAUCCCAUAAAACCAUUCUCAGUUCGGAUUGCAGGCUGCAACUCGCCUGCAUGAAGCUGGAAUCGCUAGUAAUCGUGGAUCAGCAUGCCACGGUGAAUACGUUCCCGGGCCUUGUACACACCGCCCGUCACACCACGAGAGUUUGUAACACCCGAAGUCGGUGGAGUAACCGUAAGGAGCUAGCCGCCUAAUGGUGGGACAGAUGUAGGGUGUGAAGUAGCCUCGAGCAGAAGAGCCA